rnacentral:rRNA from 1 species
GUCGAGCGGGGCCCAACCGGCAGCAAUGCCGGGGAAGGUCUAGCGGCGAACGGGCGAGUAACACGUGAGCAACCUGCCCCGAAGUUCGGGAUAACACCGGGAAACCGGUGCUAAUACCGGGUACCCCCACCUGACCGCAUGAUCGGGUGAGGAAAGAUUCAUCGCUUCGGGAGGGGCUCGCGGGCUAUCAGCUUGUUGGUGAGGUAACGGCUCACCAAGGCGACGACGGCUAGCUGGUCUGAGAGGACGACCAGCCACACUGGGACUGAGACACGGCCCAGACUCCUACGGGAGGCAGCAGUGGGGAAUCUUGCGCAAUGGGCGAAAGCCUGACGCAGCAACGCCGCGUGGGGGAUGAAGGCCUUCGGGUUGUAAACCCCUUUCGACAGGAACGAAAUUGACGGUACCUGGAGAAGAAGCCCCGGCCAACUACGUGCCAGCAGCCGCGGUAAUACGUAGGGGGCGAGCGUUGUCCGGAUUCAUUGGGCGUAAAGAGCUCGUAGGCGGUUUGGCAGUCAGGUGUGAAAUCUCCGGGCUCACUCGGAGAGGCACCUGAUACUGCUAUGACUAGAGCCGGUAGGGGACCAUGGAAUUCCUGGUGUACGGUGAAAUGCGCAGAUUCAGGAGGAACCCGGUGGCGAAGCGGUGGUCUGGGCCGGCCUGACCUGAGGAGCGAAACGUGGGGAGCGACAGGAUUAAUACCCUGGUAUCCACGCCGUAACGUUGGGCACUAGGUGUGGGACUUAUAACGGGUUCGUGCCGAGCUACGCAUUAGUGCCCGCCUGGGAGACGGCGCAGGCUAAACUCAAGGAAUGACGGGG